UACUAUAUUGCUUGUUUUGCUUGUAGUAUUCAAUAAUACAAUCAAAAUGAUUGUCCUUUUCUCUAUUAUUGUCAAGAAUAAGACACUCUAACAUGGAUAUUGCUUUCGUUAACUAUAUACGUGUAUUCGGUUUCUUUUUAAGUGUGAUGUCGAAAUGUGAAUCACAAUACAUGGGUUCAUGCUUCAGUGGUUAUCAAAUAGCUGACACAUUUUGUUACAAGUACUAUGACACAAGUCGCUCAACGUGGAACGAGGCCGAUAAGAGGUGUGCGCAGGAUGGCGCGUUUCUUAUCAAAUUGGAAAGCUUGACUAAGUUGCGUGUUGUUAAGUCAAUUAUACAAACCAAAGAGCUGGGACUAAAUGCAGCGAAUAUAUCGAUCGAUGUCUGCGUCGGUGCUCGCAACUACUC